rnacentral:tRNA from 1 species
GGAGAGGUGGCCGAGUGGUCGAAGGCACUCGCCUGCUAAGCGAGGAAGGGGAUAAAACCCCUUCGAGGGUUCGAAUCCCUCCCUCUCCGCCA